AAUAAACGCUGGCGGCGUGCCUAACACAUGCAAGUCGAGCGAGAAAGCUCCUUCGGGAGUUAGUAAAGCGGCGAACGGGUGAGCAACACGUGAGAAUCUACCCUUUAGUGAAGAAUACCCUCGAGAAAUCGAGGCUAAUACUGCAUACGUCCCUUCGGGGAGAAAGAUGGCCUCUUUGCUAUCGCUAAAGGAUGAGCUUGCGUACUAUUAGCUAGUUGGCGGGGUAAAGGCCCACCAAGGCAAUGAUGGUUAACCGGCCUGAGAGGGUGUACGGUCACACUGGAACUUAGACACGGUCCAGACUCCUACGGGAGGCAGCAGUGAGGAAUCUUGCGCAAUGGGCGAAAGCCUGACGCAGCGACGCCGCGUGGAGGAUGACGGUUUUCGGAUUGUAAACUCCUGUUAAGCGGGAAGAAAGCCUUGUUUCUAAUACAAGCAAGGUAUGACGGUACCGCUAGAGAAAGCACCGGCUAACUUCGUGCCAGCAGCCGCGGUAAGGUGCGCG
rnacentral:rRNA from 1 species